rnacentral:misc_RNA from 1 species
UACGUAGGGCGCAAGCGUUAUCCGGAAUUAUUGGGCGUAAAGGGCUCGUAGGCGGUUCAACAAGCCGGCCGUGAAAGUCCGGGGCUCAACUCCGGAUCUGCGGUGGGUACGGGCAGGCUAGAGUGAUGUAGGGGAGACUGGAAUUCCUGGUGUAGCGGUGAAAUGCGCAGAUAUCAGGAGGAACACCGAUGGCGAAGGCAGGUCUCUGGGCAUUAACUGACGCUGAGGAGCGAAAGCAUGGGGAGCGGACAGG